rnacentral:rRNA from 1 species
UACAGGGGAUGCAAGUGUUAUCCGGAAUUAUUGGGCGUAAAGCGUCUGCAGGUGGACUUUUAAGUCUUUUGUUAAACCUCUAGGCUUAACCUAGAAUCUGCAAAAGAAACUAUUUGUCUUGAGUAUGGUAGGGGUAAAGGGAAUUUCCAGUGGAAUGGUGAAAUAUUUUUGAUAUUGGAAAGAACACCAACAGCGAAGGCACUUUACUGGGACAUUACUGACACUGAGAGACGAAAGCUAGGGGAGCAAACGGGAUUAGAAACCCUGGUAGU